AGUUAAUUAGCUUAAUCAAAGCAUAUAUUUUGAAAAUAUAAAAUUAAGAAUUGUAUCUUAAUUAACUU
rnacentral:tRNA from 1 species